GAUGAACGCUGGCGGCGUGCCUAAUACAUGCAAGUCGAGCGAAGCGGGGACGGGUGAGUAACACGUGGAUAACCUCCUAUAAGACUGGGAAAACUUCGGGAAACCGGAGCUAAACCGGAUACUUACAGAUGGAGCCUCGAUGCAUUAGCUAGUUGGUAAGGUAACGGCUUACCAAGGCAACGAUGAUUAGCCGACCUGAGAGGGUGAUCGGCCACACUGGAACGGAGACACGUUCCAGACGCCUACGGGAGGCAGCAGUGGGGAAUCUUCCGCAAUGGGCGAAAGCCUGACGGAGCAAUGCCGCGUGGGUGAUGAAGGUCUUCGGAUCGUAAAACUCUGUUAUAAGGGAAGCGGUACCUAAUCAAGAAGCCACGGCUAACUACGUGCCAGCAGCCGCGGUAAUAC
rnacentral:rRNA from 1 species